GGGCGUGUGGUCUAGUGGUAUGAUUCUCGCUUUGGGCGACAGUUGGAUAAACCAACUAACAGUACUACAAUUAUGCGAGAGGCCCUGGGUUCAAUUCCCAGCUCGCCCC
rnacentral:tRNA from 1 species